rnacentral:rRNA from 1 species
AUUGAACGCUGGCGGAAUGCUUUACACAUGCAAGUCGAACGGCAGCACGGGGGCAGCCCUGGUGGCGAGUGGCGAACGGGUGAGUAAUACAUCGGAACGUGCCCGGUCGUGGGGGAUAACGUAGCGAAAGUUACGCUGAUACCGCAUACGAUCUGAGGAUGAAAGCGGGGGACCUUCGGGCCUCGCGCGAUCGGAGCGGCCGAUGUCAGAUUAGGUAGUUGGUGGGGUAAAGGCCUACCAAGCCGACGAUCUGUAGCUGGUCUGAGAGGACGACCAGCCACACUGGGACUGAGACACGGCCCAGACUCCUACGGGAGGCAGCAGUGGGGAAUUUUGGACAAUGGGCGCAAGCCUGAUCCAGCCAUUCCGCGUGCAGGACGAAGGCCUUCGGGUUGUAAACUGCUUUUGUACGGAACGAAAAGGCUCUGGCUAAUACCUGGGGCUCAUGACGGUACCGUAAGAAUAAGCACCGGCUAACUACGUG